GACGAACGCUGGCGGCGUGCCUAAUACAUGCAAGUUGAGCGAUGAAGAUUGGUGCUUGCACCAAUUUGAAGAGCAGCGAACGGGUGAGUAACGCGUGGGGAAUCUGCCUUUGAGCGGGGGACAACAUUUGGAAACGAAUGCUAAUACCGCAUAAUAACUUUAAACAUAAGUUUUAAGUUUGAAAGAUGCAAUUGCAUCACUCAAAGAUGAUCCCGCGUUGUAUUAGCUAGUUGGUGAGGUAAAGGCUCACCAAGGCGAUGAUACAUAGCCGACCUGAGAGGGUGAUCGGCCACAUUGGGACUGAGACACGGCCCAGACUCCUACGGGAGGCAGCAGUAGGGAAUCUUCGGCAAUGGACGAAAGUCUGACCGAGCAACGCCGCGUGAGUGAAGAAGGUUUUCGGAUCGUAAAGCUCUGUUGGUAGAGAAGAACGUUGGUGAGAGUGGAAAGCUCAGCAAGUGACGGUAACUACACAGAAAGGGACGGCUAACUACGUG
rnacentral:rRNA from 1 species